AGAAGACAACAAACCGUCAUGGAGAAUACUAAUAACGCCGAGAGCCCAUUCCAGCACUCUGCCAGGAGGUCCUUCUCGUUAAAGUAAUAACAGCAGAAAUGGGACCCUUAAAGCCUGCUGAUUUUUGACUAAGUCGUUGUCAAGGGUAAUCUGGGGCAUUUUAAAUAAGUCAUGGCUUUUAUGAAAGACGAAAAUGAUGUGAUAUCGAAAGAAUGACUUACAGGGUCAAGUUUUACAUGAAUAAAUAUGAAUAAAAUAAUUAGCUAUGACGCCAUGGAUCGGGAUAAACUGGUUCUCUCAGCAACAUUUGUGAAAAGUAGCUGAGUUAGAACCCGCUAGACAACCUGUUCUCAAGUUCUCAUGAGCUAUACCUCAGGUAGUUGAAAGUCGGAAGCUCGGCCUCCUCAUCAAACCCAGCAAGGAUGCCUGGGCCACUAUUCGAGUGUUACAAGCCCAUAUGACUAAGUUCUACCUCUGGAAGCAACGACGAUAGGGCGAUAAUCAUUUUGCAUCCUCCCAGGGAUCAGCUUUGAUACAAAAAGACUGACAUGAGUAGUGGGAAGAGCCCUGGCCCUUCCUAGGAUGCCUAAACACUGCUGUAUGGACUUGGGAAGUUACAGAUGCAACAUGACUGGGUCUCAAUAUCUCUAUCUUGAAAUUUUUGAAAAUGACAAUGAUAGCUCCACUUGGAAUUGAUAGGAAGAUUAAAGACAUAAUAUAUGUG